rfam:Paraphaeosphaeria sporulosa strain AP3s5-JAC2a unplaced genomic scaffold CC84scaffold_8, whole genome shotgun sequence.
GGGCGUGUAGCUCAGUGGUAGAGCGCCCGCUUUGCAUGCGGGAGGUCUAGGGUUCGAUCCCCUACCCGUCCA